rnacentral:rRNA from 1 species
UACGGAGGGGGCGAGCGUUAUUCGGAAUCAUUGGGCGUAAAGGGCGCGUAGGCGGCCCCGUAAGUCUUGGGUGAAAGCCCUCGGCUCAACCGAGGAAUUGCCUUGGAUACUGCGGGGCUCGAGGCUGGAAGAGGACAGUGGAAUUCCGCGUGUAGCAGUGAAAUGCGUAGAUAUGCGGAGGAACACCGAUGGCGAAGGCAAUCCCCUGGGCCUGCACUGACGCUCAUGCACGAAAGCGUGGGGAGCAAACAGG